UACGGAGGGGGCUAGCGUUGUUCGGAAUUACUGGGCGUAAAGCGCACGUAGGCGGCUUUGUAAGUUAGAGGUGAAAGCCCAGGGCUUAACUCUGGAAUUGCCUUUAAGACUGCAUCGCUAGAAUCGUGGAGAGGUGAGUGGAAUUCCGAGUGUAGAGGUGAAAUUCGUAGAUAUUCGGCGGAACACCAGUGGCGAAGGCGACUCACUGGCCCGAUACUGACGCUGAGGCGCGAAAGCGUGGGGAGCAAACAGG
rnacentral:rRNA from 1 species